rnacentral:rRNA from 1 species
UGAGAGAUGAUCAGGUAGAUAGGUCAGGAGUGGAAGGCCAGUGAUGGUUGGAGCGGACUGAUACUAAUCGAUCGAGGACUUAACCAAA